rnacentral:rRNA from 1 species
UAGUAACUGCGAGUGAAGCGGGAAAAGCUCAAAUUUAAAAUCUGGCAGCCUUCGGUUGUCCGAGUUGUAGUCUGGAGAAGCGUUUUCCGCGCUGGACCGUGUACAAGUCUCCUGGAACGGAGCGUCAUAGAGGGUGAGAAUCCCGUCUUUGACACGGACUACCAGUGCUUUGUGAUGCGCUCUCAAAGAGUCGAGUUGUUUGGGAAUGCAGCUCAAAAUGGGUGGUAAACUCCAUCUAAAGCUAAAUAUUGGCGAGAGACCGAUAGCGAACAAGUACCGUGAGGGAAAGAUGAAAAGCACUUUGGAAAGAGAGUUAAACAGUACGUGAAAUUGCUGAAAGGGAAACGCUUGAAGUCAGUCGCGUUUGCUAGAACUCAGCCUGGCUUCGGCUUGGUGCAUUUUCUAGUGAACGGGCCAGCAUCACUUUUGGUUGCGGGAUAAAGGUCGCAGAAAUGUGGCACCCUCGGGUGUGUUAUAGUCUGUGGCUGUAUACCGUGGCUGGGAGUGAGGAACUCAGCACGCGCAAGCUGUGCUUAGGAUGCUGGCGUAAUGGCUUUAAACGACCCGUCUUGAAACACGGACCAAGGAGUCUAACAUGCCUGCGAGUGUUUGGGUGGAAAACCCGAGCGCGUAAUGAAAGUGAAAGUUGGGAUCUCUGUCGU